rnacentral:lncRNA from 1 species
UGGAAUGUGACAAUUUCAGCUGAUGUCACUAGUAUUGUGUGGGUGCUUUUGUUUAGAGUAGGUCUCUCUCAUAGUCAAAGCCGGUCCCUAACUCGCAGAAAAUUCAAAAGAGCAACACUUACGUUGAAUUUGUUCACUCUUCGUCGUCUGUCUUGUGUGUUUUUUUUUCUUUGCCAAAAUCGCCUACCUUGGGUUUCAGUCUUUCAGAUGAUCAAAGAGAAGGUUUCAUUCUCACACCUUUCUUCCUUCCUUGUUUUUGAAUUAUGAGAAUAGUUGUCAGUGUUUCAAAAAAAAAAAGUGUUUCAAAAAAAAAAAAGAAUAGUUUUGUCAUGAUCAUCCUUAUUGGUUGCAGAGUUGUGCUUCAAUUGUAUUUAAAAAGGCUUUCACCUAGAGCCCCCAAAAUAUAUAGUUUUUUUAAGGUUCCAAAUUUCAGAAAACAAUUAAUAGUAUAAUAGUUUAAGUUUGCCAUUUAUUUGAUAAACUGAAAUCAGCAAGUGAAGAUAGUUUGAUGGCAUCUUGUACCAAUCUUCAAGCAGCUUUAAAGUAUGUACAUUAUGAUGUUAUUGUGUUAUCUAGACUCAUGGAUUUUCUUAUUGACGAUUCCAGUUUCUGUCGAAAGAAUCUUUUCCAAAUUGAAGCUUAUAAAGUUUUAUAUGCGAUCAACCAUAUCACAAGAAAGGUUAAAUAGUGUAGUAAUUAUAUUUACAGAAAAAAAAUUAGUUAGAAAUCUAGAUUAUGAGAAUUUGGUUAAAGAGUUUGAAAAAGAAGGAAGAAAAAUUUUAUCUUAGUUUUUUAAGUUAUUGUUUUUCUUUUUAAUGUUUUUUCAAAUAUAUAUUAUACUCUAAUAAAAAAAAUUUAUAAAAAAGACCCAUUUUUAUAUUCGUCUCAGGCCCCACUAAAUCUUCGCACAAAACUGAAUUUGGCUGGUAGAGCUAUCAGCAGCAGAGUUAGAAUCACUUAGAUCACAACUUUCUAACUAAGAAGAAAGACAAGCUUAAUUACCUCUCAAAGCACACCAAGUCAUUUUCUCCAAGACUGUUCCCCAUACUC